rnacentral:rRNA from 1 species
GCUCAGAUUGAACGCUGGCGGCAGGCCUAACACAUGCAAGUCGAGCGGAAACGAGUUAUCUGAACCUUCGGGGAACGAUAACGGCGUCGAGCGGCGGACGGGUGAGUAAUGCCUAGGAAAUUGCCCUGAUGUGGGGGAUAACCAUUGGAAACGAUGGCUAAUACCGCAUGAUGCCUACGGGCCAAAGAGGGGGACCUUCGGGCCUCUCGCGUCAGGAUAUGCCUAGGUGGGAUUAGCUAGUUGGUGAGGUAAGGGCUCACCAAGGCGACGAUCCCUAGCUGGUCUGAGAGGAUGAUCAGCCACACUGGAACUGAGACACGGUCCAGACUCCUACGGGAGGCAGCAGUGGGGAAUAUUGCACAAUGGGCGCAAGCCUGAUGCAGCCAUGCCGCGUGUGUGAAGAAGGCCUUCGGGUUGUAAAGCACUUUCAGUCGUGAGGAAGGUAGUGUAGUUAAUAGCUGCAUUAUUUGACGUUAGCGACAGAAGAAGCACCGGCUAACUCCGUGCCAGCAGCCGCGGUAAUACGGAGGGUGCGAGCGUUAAUCGGAAUUACUGGGCGUAAAGCGCAUGCAGGUGGUUUGUUAAGUCAGAUGUGAAAGCCCGGGGCUCAACCUCGGAAUAGCAUUUGAAACUGGCAGACUAGAGUACUGUAGAGGGGGGUAGAAUUUCAGGUGUAGCGGUGAAAUGCGUAGAGAUCUGAAGGAAUACCGGUGGCGAAGGCGGCCCCCUGGACAGAUACUGACACUCAGAUGCGAAAGCGUGGGGAGCAAACAGGAUUAGAUACCCUGGUAGUCCACGCCGUAAACGAUGUCUACUUGGAGGUUGUGGCCUUGAGCCGUGGCUUUCGGAGCUAACGCGUUAAGUAGACCGCCUGGGGAGUACGGUCGCAAGAUUAAAACUCAAAUGAAUUGACGGGGGCCCGCACAAGCGGUGGAGCAUGUGGUUUAAUUCGAUGCAACGCGAAGAACCUUACCUACUCUUGACAUCCAGAGAACUUUCCAGAGAUGGAUUGGUGCCUUCGGGAACUCUGAGACAGGUGCUGCAUGGCUGUCGUCAGCUCGUGUUGUGAAAUGUUGGGUUAAGUCCCGCAACGAGCGCAACCCUUAUCCUUGUUUGCCAGCGAGUAAUGUCGGGAACUCCAGGGAGACUGCCGGUGAUAAACCGGAGGAAGGUGGGGACGACGUCAAGUCAUCAUGGCCCUUACGAGUAGGGCUACACACGUGCUACAAUGGCGCAUACAGAGGGCGGCCAACUUGCGAAAGUGAGCGAAUCCCAAAAAGUGCGUCGUAGUCCGGAUUGGAGUCUGCAACUCGACUCCAUGAAGUCGGAAUCGCUAGUAAUCGUGGAUCAGAAUGCCACGGUGAAUACGUUCCCGGGCCUUGUACACACCGCCCGUCACACCAUGGGAGUGGGCUGCAAAAGAAGUAGGUAGUUUAACCUUCGGGGGGACGCUUACCACUUUGUGGUUCAUGACUGGGGUGAAGUCGUAACAAG